rnacentral:rRNA from 1 species
UACGUAGGUGACAAGCGUUGUCCGGAUUUACUGGGCGUAAAGAGCGCGCAGGCGGUCGAUCAAGUCGAGUGUGAAAGCCCGGGGCUCAACCCCGGAACUGCCUUUAAGACUGCAUCGCUUGAAUCCAGGAGAGGUGAGUGGAAUUCCGAGUGUAGAGGUGAAAUUCGUAGAUAUUCGGAAGAACACCAGUGGCGAAGGCGGCUCACUGGACUGGUAUUGACGCUGAUGUGCGAAAGCGUGGGGAGCAAACAGG